rnacentral:rRNA from 1 species
UACGUAGGGUGCAAGCGUUGUCCGGAAUUAUUGGGCGUAAAGAGCUCGUAGGCGGUUUGUUGCGUCGGCUGUGAAAUCCCGAGGCUCAACCUCGGGUCUGCAGUCGAUACGAGCAAACUAGAGUGUUGCAGGGGAGACUGGAAUUCCUGGUGUAGCGGUGAAAUGCGCAGAUAUCAGGAGGAACACCGGUGGCGAAGGCGGGUCUCUGGGCAACAACUGACGCUGGAGGAGCGAAAGCCGUGGGGAGC